GACGAACGCUGGCGGCGUGCUUAACACAUGCAAGUCGAGCGGUAAGGCCCUUUCGGGGGUACGACGAGCGGCGAACGGGUGAGUAACACGUGGGUGACCUGCCCUUAGCUCUGGGAUAAGCCUGGGAAACUGGGUCGUAAUACCGGAUAUGACUCCAUGACGCAUGUUGUGGGGUGGAAAGCCUUGUGCGGCUAGGGAUGGGCCCGCGGCCUAUCAGCUUGUUGGUGGGGUGAUGGCCUACCAAGGCGACGACGGGUAGCCGGCCUGAGAGGGCG
rnacentral:rRNA from 1 species